rnacentral:rRNA from 1 species
UACGAAGGGGGCUAGCGUUGCUCAGAAUCACUGGGCGUAAAGCGCACGUAGGCGGACUCUUAAGUCGGUGGUGAAAUCCUGGAGCUCAACUCCAGAACUGCCUUCGAUACUGAGAGUCUCGAGUCCGGGAGAGGUGAGUGGAACUGCGAGUGUAGAGGUGAAAUUCGUAGAUAUUCGCAAGAACACCAGUGGCGAAGGCGGCUCACUGGCCCGGUACUGACGCUGAGGUGCGAAAGCGUGGGGAGCAAACAGG